GACUGUUCUUCUGGGAGCGGGUGGCUCCGGGCCCUCCAGUUCCUGCUGUUUGGGAGGUAACAUUUAAAUGUAUUUACAUUCUAUUUCUAAUCAAGGAUGUUCAUCAAACCCAUUUGGGCAACUUGAUAUUAAAAGAAGGACAGAGUAAUCUUUAUGGGAAUCAUGCUCUGCAGAAAGAUGAAGUCAAGAUUGUGGCGUGCUUAGGCGGAAAACACUAACAAACCCUCCGACGGGCCAAGCCUCAGGAUGCGGGGGAAGGAGUAACAAGGUGGCCCCGAGUGCUCACUGAAGCCUCGUCUCAUUCUCAAGCCGUGCCCAGCCAGGCCACCCGUGAGCUGCGAGCCCAUUAGGAAAACAGCUGCCUCCAAAGAACCCGGCUGCUGCUUACGUGAAUGAUCUGGAGAGAGGCACCGUCAAUCGCAGCAAUGGGGCUUAAGUGUUUGCCGGGCAAGGGGAGAGUCCCGUGAGCGCCCUUUGAAGUGUCUUUUACUGAAGAGGUCCUGGGCAGUGAUGGCCACGGUGAGCCCUAGAUGGGACUCCUCUUCCGAUGGACAACCUCUGUGAACCUGUGACUUCGUCGAAAGUGAUUUGAGUGAACAGCUGCUCCUAUGGAAGGGAGGCUCCUCACCGCACCAGUGCAGUAAUUAACAGGGGUGGGGGUGGGCGUGGGGACGAGAACCAGCUGAUCAAAUGUGGGAUCAGUGGGUGGUGAGCUCUCAGCUUCCACAAGGCCUCUGUGAAUCUUGGAGUUUUUUUAAAAAACAGAAUUUUUCCAUUCUGAAAGUUAGCAAUGCUGUAAAGUACGAGGCUUUAAAUACUUUAUUUUAUGUCAUGGAUAUCAUCUGAAGACCAAACAGCUCUGGAUUUCCAAAUUUAGCACUUUUUCCUCCCAAGGAGAGGCUGAUCCAUCCUGUUAAAAUAUCUGACUGGCAUGUGGAUCCCAGUAAUUUACGUUACUGAAACGCGGUGUAUGACAGAAGCCAACAGCAGGCUGCACAAAUCAGAGAAAAGCCACGUCUUCAGGAACUUGUUGAGUUGAGUCGGGAGGAUUGUUUUCUGCAACUGUAUCUGGUUGCUAAAACUCGAGCCAUGCCACACCUUUGAAACAUCAUUAGCUUCCCAAUGGCAGAUGAAAUGAGGCCGAUUUUCAAACUGUGCCCUCAGAGUUGGUAUUUAUCUCCCUUGCAGGCAAUAGGCGCCAGGCCUUUGAGUAAAGAAACACCACCAGGCAAGUGGAAUCGUGAAGAGACCUGUGUGUGUGCGAGAGAACAGGGCAGCGACUGGCAUGGUUCCAGAAGGAGCCAGCGCCGGAUGGAAGGAAGGCGGGCGCAGAGCCACGGCCACGCUGGCCCAGGGGUCGGGAGGAAAGGAAGGCGGGCGCAGAGCCACGGCCACGCUGGCCCAGGGGUCGGGAGGAAAGGAAGGCGGGCGCAGAGCCACGGCCACAGCCAGCCAGGCCUUCUCCAUCCCCUGGGGCUUCCUCUCCCACUUCUCUGCAGCAGAGGGGUCGCAGGCCCAGCAGGUCGGGUCAGGGCCCCAGAGCUUGUGUGGUGCCCAGGGCACUGGACCUGCUCCAGGGGAGCUGCGUGCAAAAAUCACAUUUAAACAAGAGGUGCUUUGAAUUCCCUAUUUACUCAGGAAGCUUAGACAUAUUUUUCAAAGAACUUAGAGAUAAAUACUGUUUUGGGGAAUAGAAUCCCUUUGCAGUGCGCAUGGUUAUUCCUGGUUUAUCAUUUUCUUAUGUAGGCUUUCCAUGCAGCAGCGUUUUCUUUCCCCUUCUCAUAUCUGAGGCGUAUUUCAGAAGGAGGUAUACGGUAAAUAUCUUAAGUUCACGAUCCACGUAGUUCAUAAGGUAAUUGCUUAUUGCUGUUAGAUUUUAAGGUUUUGAAUAAUGUAACCUGUCUCCCUGCUUCCCUUUCUUCCUUCUUUCUAUCCUUCCUUCCUUUCUUUUUCACUUCUUUUCUUUUUAAAUCUUAUUCUGACCUUAAUUCUUUAAGUAUCUAGCGCAGUCCUUUAACUGUCCAUGUAGAAAUGUCAUACUGUUGAAUUAACGACUAACCUGGGUCAUAAACAGGGCUCCUUGUUUUCCAGCCAGCCGGCCGUGUGCCCCCACAGAUCAACCAAAUUACCCGGUUAAUCCGUGCCCUAAUGCCUUCCAUAAACAUUUGCUGAGUGCCCACUAUGUGUCAGGCACAGCCCUGCCCUUGGAAACACAGGAACAAGUGGGAUCCAGUCCCUGUUCUCAAGGGGCUGAUGGUCUAAAAGAGAGGGAGAAGUGGAAAGUGUUGGUAAAGUGGGCACGUGUGACAAUAAAGAUACUUGGUUUGGUGGAGCGAAAGGAUGGAGUGACCCUUUCCUGCGGUGUGGGGGUGUCCAGACAGGGAGAUGUUCUGCCUGGUCCUGAGUGGCACAUGCUGGUGGGUUUCAGGACCGAAAGCAAGAGCGCGGGUCUCAGCAGCUGUGCAGACACUGUGCCUGCAGGGAGGAGGUGGGAGAAGGGGAGCCGGGAGGGAGUGGGCUGUGCCCAACAGGCACCAGGAGCCCACAGCCCGCCCUGCUCUACAUGCAGGACCCGGCUCCCUUGGCGUGUGGGACCUCUGUGCAGGGAGAUUCCUCUCUUCCUCCUGAAAUUGGCCCAAUAUUCUGAGCAGCUCACUGAAACACAUGACUAAACACUACUUUAAAACGACCUUGUUUAUAAUUUUCCUUUCGACAGUCGGAUAGCUUUCUGCUUAUUUGCAUGGGGGUGGUGCACGGUUCACAGGUUGCUGUGUCUGUGAACCUUCUCUUUCUGCUGAUAGUGGGCUUUGAUUAGAGAAGCUGCACUGCCUUCAGCCUAGAAUCCCACCCUGCUGCAUGAAUGGCUUCUGAGCCAACUGCCGCUCUGUGCCCAGGAACUCCGACCUUAUCCUCCCUGAAGAGCCCCAGAGUGGUAAGGGGUGCAGGGCUCAGGUGCACCUGCUGGCAUGGCUCCAGCCUUGUCCUCUUCCUCUGAGGUGGCUGGGCAGGUGGUCCCCAAGAGUUGCAUCCAGCUGUAAGGGUCUAGGAUCAUAGCGGGCUUUGGUAUGUUUCCUUGAAUGCAAAUCUUUGGCAAAUUCUUUUAUUCCGGGGUCCCCCACCCCCUGGGCCAUGGAUGCAUACUGGUCCAUGGCCUGUUAGGAACCCAGUGGCCCAGGAGGAGAUGAGCAGCGGGUGAGUGAGCGAAGCUUCCUCUAUAUUUAUAGCCGCCACCCGUCACUCACAUUGCCACCUGAGCUCCGCCUCCCGUCAGAUCAGCGGUGGCAUUAGAAUCUCAUAGGAGCGCGAACUCUGUUGUGAACUGCGCAUGUGAGGGAUCCAGGCUGUGCACUCCUCAUGAGAAUCUAAUGCCUGAUGACCUGUCACUGUCUCCCAUCACCCCUAGAUGGGACCGUCUAGGUGCAGGAAAACAAGCUCAGGGCCCUCACUGAUUCUGUCAUGGUGAGUUGUAGAAUUAUUUUAAUUAUAUGUUACAGUGUAAUAAUAAUAUUAGAAAGAAAGUACACAAUAAAUGUAAUGAGCUUGAAUCAUCCUGAAACCACCCCCACUGCUCCCCAUCCAUGGAAACCCAGUCUCCAUGAAACUGGUCCCUGGUGCCAAAAAGGUUGGGGACCACUGUUUUUAUGAAUGAAAUUCUGGAACAAUUCUCAGGUUGAAGAAUUUGUGUACCUGUCAGGAUAACACUUCAUAAGUAAAGCUUAAAGCUGGCUUAAGCUCCCAGAUAACUACUGUGGGCUCUUUCCCUUUACCCGAGAGAUGGCGUGUGUCACAGUACCUGGUGGCUCAAACCGUUAGUGAGGUGCAACUCCGUCAGGACGCUGCCCGGGACUGGAUCACGGUCACCAAGCCGUCGGGGCUCGGGGAUUCUGCUCCUGGAUGGCUGCAGUUUCUCAGGCUUCCCGUAACACGUGCUGCUGUGUUCUGGACUCCAAGGUGCUGUCCAGGUACAGGGCAUUGUUUCAGAAGCAGUUCUAGGCAGCGACAAAAAGUGAUGGAAAAAGCGGUACAGGCAAUUUUGAGGUGGCGCCGUCUUGAUCCACUCAUGUGCCCUUUAAAGUUAAGAUUAUACAUAAAACGUUUCUUAAUAGAAGUCCCAUUUCUCAGGACAAUUUUUUCUUUUUCUUGAGAUAGGGUCUUGCUCUGUCAUCCAGGCUGGAGUGCAGUGGCACAGUCACAGCUCACUGCAGCCAUGACCUCCUGGGCACAAGCCAUCCUCCCACCUCAGCCUCCCAAGCAGUUGAGACUACAGGCCUGCACCACCAGGCCUGGCUAAUUUUUGUAUUUUUUGUAGAGGCAGAGUCUUGCUAUGUUGCCCAGGCUGGUCAUGAACUCUUGGGCUCAAAUGAUCCUCCCGCCUUGGCCUCCCAAAGUGCUGGGAUUGCAGGUAGGAGCCACCACAUCUGGCCAGGACAAUUUUUGAAAGCAUCUGACUCAACUCUGGCCAAUAAGUGUGUGAAUAUGCAUGCACAUGUGUGUGCGUGCAUGUGGUGCCUGGGCCUGUGUAUGUGUGAAUGUGCACAUAUGUGUGCAUGUGUGUGUGCACGUAUGUGGUAUAAAUAUGAAUGUGCACAUGUGCAUGCAUGUGGUGUGUGUGUGUGCACGUAUGUGUGCAUGCGUGUGGUGUGUGCAUGUGUGUGCAUGCGUGUGGUGUGUGUGAAUGUGCACGUAUGUGUCCAUGUGUCUGUGCAUGCAUGUGGUGUGUGCAUGUGUGUGCAUGCGUGUGGUGUGUGCAUGCAUGUGUGUGCAUGCAUGUGGUGUGUGCAUGUGUGUGUGCAUGCGUGUGGUGUGUGCAUGUGUGUGUGCAUGCAUGUGGUGUGUGCAUGUGUGUGUGUGCAUGCAUGUGGUGUGUGCAUGUGCGCUACUGGGUUGGGUUGAUUUAGCUGCAUAUUAUCUACCUUUGUGUUGUUAGUUAUUGAGAAAAUAAUUUUAUCUCAGAAGUAAAAGCUUUACAGGAAGUCACAUUGACAAGCUGAUGAAUAUUGAGGUACGUUAUAAAUAGCACCACUGCCAUCACAAGAAGGGGGUAUGCUACGCAUCGUUGUGAUUUGUGUGAUAUUCCGGGUCCUGGGAGGUUGGGUAUGGCUCAGGAUCUUAGAUGCAGUGUGGGGUCCUCUGAGUGGGGUCCUCUGUGGGCUGUCUCAGCUCCUGUUUGUGAAGUGGUGUGAGAUCCUUAAAAGCGAGUUUCUGCUGAUGCGACAGUGAUGGCCAUCAGGAUUGCUGUCUGCCGUAGUUACUCUCGGGGAGUUUGUCUUUCCGUAAUGACCACUUCUUCAUGCCCACAUUCUCAUACUGGGAACAGCUGAGGAAACCUGAAGCUAAGUAAGACUAACUACUACAAAUCCUGUUGGUAGUGAGCCCUUUUGGGUGGAUAAUUCCAAAGACUCUAUUCUCCAAAUAGCCUUUCCAUUGGAGUUUGCAGAUUUGAGUGAUAGACAAUGGAGAAUUUAUUUUUAUUUUUUAGUUCAAAUCUUCACUGCACCAAAUAGCUAUCAGAUGGCUCUCUGUGGAAGAUGGGAUUAAAAUGCAGGUCCUUGUUCAAGCAAGAGGAAUAAUCUCAUUUAAAUGGUUAAAGAAUAAGCACAGCAUGAAUGCUGUUUCAUCAUUGUUAAGCCCAGCUUUGUCCUCAUUACUGAAGAGAAGACACCUUAAUUUUUGCUGUGAGAAGCCAAAGAAUCAAGUGGUUGGUCAAAUUAAGAAGAGGCCAUCCAUCCAUCUAUCCAUCCAUCUGUGCAACUGCUGGGGACUGAAGCAGCGCGGCCGGGUACUGGUUACCAAAUGCAAACUUAAUUGCCAAUUAUGGGAUCACAGACACCUGAAAAACCUGGCGCCGGGAAGUUCACUGAGAAACACCUACCUCGGGUGUUUUAGUGAAGGAAACACUUACCUUGGGUGUUUUAGUGAAUUUAAGGACUAUAAUAAAAUUGAGGCAAAGGACAAA